GACGAACGCUGGCGGCGUGCUUAACACAUGCAAGUCGAACGAAGUGGCGAACGGGUGAGUAACGCGUAAUCAACCUGCCCUUCAGAGGGGGACAACAGUUGGAAACGACUGCUAAUACCGCAUACUGAAGGAGGGGUUUGCGUCUGAUUAGCUAGUUGGAGGGGUAACGGCCCACCAAGGCGAAGAUAAGUAGCCGGUCUGAGUGGAAUAAUGGCCAACAUGGGACUGAGACACGGCCCAGACUCCUACGGGAGGCAGCAGUGGGGAAUCUUCCGCAAUGGACGAAAGUCUGACGGAGCAACGCCGCGGGAGUGAUGACGGCCUUCGGGUUGGAAAGCUCUGUUAAUCGGGGCGCGGUACCGGAAUAGAAAGCCACGGCUAACUACGUGCCAGCAGCCGCGGUAAUUC
rnacentral:rRNA from 1 species